rnacentral:rRNA from 1 species
CCCUUUUUUUUCAAAACAUGUCUUAAUGUUUUUAAUUAUAUUAAGUCUAACCUGCUCAAUGAUUUAUUAUAGUUAAAUAGCCGCAGUAUUUUGACUGUGCGAAGGUAGCAUAAUCAUUUGUCUUUUAAUUGGAGGCUUGAAUGAAUGGUUGGAUGAGGGAGUUUCUUUCUUUAUAUUUAUUAGUGGAAUUUAAUUUUUAGGUUAAAAAGCUUAUAUUUUUAAGUGGGACGAGAAGACCCUAUAGAAUUUUAUUAUUUAUUUGGUUAUUUAUUUUUGGUUAUAUAUUUAAUUAUGACUGAAUUGAUAAUUUUGUUGGGGUGAUAGGAAGAUUUUUAAAACUCUUUUAUUUAUAAAUUAUUGAUUUUUAUAUGAUUGAUCCUUUAUUAAGGAAAACUAGAUUAAAUUACCUUAGGGAUAACAGCGUAAUUUUCCUGGAGAGUUCUUAUUGAUAGGGGAGUUUGCGACCUCGAUGUUGGAUUAAAAUUAGUUUUAAGUGCAGAAGCUUAAUUACUAGGUCUGUUCGACCUUUAAAUUUUUACAUGAUCGGUUUUCCACCCGGA